rnacentral:rRNA from 1 species
UCUGCCUGGUAGUGGGGGAUUACGUCCGGAAACGGGCGCUAAUACCGCGUACGUCCUACGGGAGAAAGCAGGGGAUCUUCGGACCUUGCGCUACCAGAUGAGCCCAGGCCGGAUUAGCUUGUUGGUGAGGUAAUGGCACCAAGGCGACGAUCCGUAACUGGUCUGAGAGGAUGAUCAGUCACACUGGAACUGAGACACGGUCCAGACUCCUACGGGAGGCAGCAGUGGGGAAUAUUGGACAAUGGGGGCAACCCUGAUCCAGCCAUGCCGCGUGUGUGAAGAAGGUCUUCGGAUUGUAAAGCACUUUAAGUUGGGAGGAAGGGCUUGCGGUUAAUACCUGCAAGUUUUGACGUUACCGACAGAAUAAGCACCGGCUAACUCUGUGCCAGCAGCCGCGGUAAUACAGAGGGUGCAAGCGUUAAUCGGAAUUACUGGGCGUAAAGCGCGCGUAGGUGGUUCAGUAAGAUGGAAGUGAAAUCCCCGGGCUCAACCUGGGAACUGCUUUCAUAACUGCUGGGCUAGAGUACGGUAGAGGGUAGUGGAAUUUCCUGUGUAGCGGUGAAAUGCGUAGAUAUAGGAAGGAACACCAGUGGCGAAGGCGACUACCUG